rnacentral:tRNA from 1 species
GUCUUCAUGGUGUAAAGGUAGCACACUCGGCGCGUAUUCGAGAGGUCCAGGUUCGAUUCCCGGCGAAGGCA